UACGAAGGGGGCUAGCGUUGCUCGGAAUCACUGGGCGUAAAGCGCACGUAGGCGGCUUUUUAAGUCAGGGGCGAAAUCCUGGAGCUCAACUCCAGAACUGCCUUUGAUACUGGAAAGCUCGAGUCCGGAAGAGGUGAGUGGAACUGCGAGUGUAGAGGUGAAAUUCGUAGAUAUUCGCAAGAACACCAGUGGCGAAGGCGGCUCACUGGUCCGGUACUGACGCUGAGGCGCGAAAGCGUGGGGAGCAAACAGG
rnacentral:rRNA from 1 species